GGGAUUUUACAGAAGGAAAGCUAAGAGGAAGUUACACCAAAGAGCAGUGGUGAGGAAGAGAUGAUGCAAUUUCUUGGCAGAUGUUGUGGGCUAGAACUCCUGUCAUCCCGAACCACUGGCAAUGCUGGCUGAGGUUGAUGGGCUUUGCAAUUCAAAACACCUGGAGGGCACCAAGUUGGCUAUCCCUGGUCUAGAAAAUGGGAUUAGAGUCCUUGCAAGCCCAGCCCUAAAGAUAUUUCCAUCCUCCGUAAUAAAGCAUGCAACACUCGAGCAGCAGAUCCUCUGCCAAAAAAGCCCCAUUCUUCUAUCUCUCUUAGCACUGUGGCAGGAAGAAUAGCAAAAGAAAGGAAGGAGGAGACUGAAUUUUAUCACCAGCGGAACACAACCUAUAUAUUUAUACACAGACAGCCCAAAUGCUACUGAAGAAGACGACAACAGGCACCAUCAGGAAUCAAUGAGCUCUUCCCCACCCCCUCAGCAAAAUGACAUUAAUACCCAGUUUCCUGAGAAACUAAAAAGCAGGAGAAAUAAAUGUAGCAAUCUCUCAUUUCCCCCUCUUUUU